CAGCCAUCCUGAGAGCUCCUUCUCACUUUAGUGUCUGGACAAUUCAUUUUCUGCCCUCUGUCAAUUUUGCUUCCUUUUUCUCGUACCUUUGAACCUUUGGCUAUAAUUUCGUGUUCCACUUCUUCCGAUUGAACUUCUCUCGAUUGGUGUCAAAUUCGACUUUUUGUGAGAGAUGAGCAGUUCAAGCAGAGAACUUCUGCAUUUGGAGCACAAGAAUGUCUCUGCAUCUCCUCUUGAAUCCUCACUUCUUGUCUGUAAAAAGGAGUCGGUCUCUCAUAACAAGAAAGCCCCUCCUGAUGGAAAGCCCAUUACUAAUCGAAUUGCCCAAAGCCAAGGUAAUUGUCUUCAGAAUUCCACACUCUUCUUUUGGUAUUGGGUAUAAUCUCUUGUUACUAUAGUACGUUUUUCGUCUUAUGAAAAAUUGGGAACAUGCUCAAUAUGGAACUCACCACUUAACAAAUGAAACAUAAAAGCAUAUUAAUUGUGGUUUGGAAUAAGUCUGCAGUUGCAAAAAAAAAUUGUUUUAGCAUAUUUUUAAGAGGAUGAGUGCAAAUGGGAAUGGAAUAUGUUUGAGUAAUUUUGGUAAUUAUGUACGCUGAUUUGUGUACCUUAGAUAGCAGUAAUUUCAAAAUUGUGGGGAUUUUCUGUUUUGGCACCCAUGCAUCUGUUUAUAUGAUCUGCUAUUACUUUCAACAUAUGCAUUUGGGGUGUCUGCUUUGAAAUCUUUGCAUGUCUUACUGUCUUUUAAGGCUCCCAGUUUGUUAAGCUUACUUAUUCAGGAGUUCAAGAGGAACUUUGGCUAUGUUUUCAUCGUAUGAGAUUGUCCUGUAUUUUUCUUGUUUCUGUAUAUGGUGUUUUUUAAUAGGUAUAAUGAUUAGGCUUUGUCCAAGGAAUUUUUCUUUACUUAUCAUCAGUUUUCUUGCAUUUGUUGUCUAUAUGUUGCAACAAUGUACAGUAAUGCAACCUAGCCCUGAACAUUCUUGAUAUCUAAUUUUCCAACUAGUAAGGUUGCUGUUAUUUGUGUGAAAUAUUUAAUGAUUUUUCUAGUAGCUAGAUGGUAUAUCUAGCUCAAAAAAUUGGGAGACUUUGAUGGUUGGUUGGUAAUGGUCCAUGUCAACUAUGGUUUACAUAUUGUCCAUCCCUUAUCAAAGUUAGUUCAUCUCUUCGCUAACUUGGGCAUGGAAAAAAAAAGGUUGGAUUAAUCAUUAUUAUUGCAAUAAUAGAUAUUGCACUGUAGCUCUGUUUCUGUGCAUUCUUCUUCUUCUUCCUUUAGUGCUGGCUCCCUAAGCAUCCUUUUUUUGCCUUUCCAGUAGCUGUUGUAUCAUCUUUUCAAUGUGUAAAUGAAUUUAUGAAAAGACAUUAGUGAUGUGCAAGGAGACCUUAUAAUCUAGGGCUAUUUUGAGGUAUUGUUGCUUUACUGUUCAGUGAUCAACGUUUAAUGGGUAGAAUGGUCACCCAACGUUAUCAAUUUGUUGCUAACUGCAGGCACUAAUUGUAAUAUUUGCUAGGAUUGCACUUAGCCAUACAAGAUUGCUACACUUUGGACCUUUGUUCUUUUGAUGAAAAACUUUAUAGGUCAAGAUAUAUGGCCUUUACAUGUGAGAAUUUCUUGCAUGGAAACCUGUUUACUAAAUACCUAUUUACAGUAGCCAAAUGGGUUUGAGUUUGAGAUCAUGUUUUUCAAGCUGAACACCGAACAACCAUAAUUCCAAAAUGGACUUAAAAUAUGAGGAAAUCAAAACCUUUUUCCAAUCUUGGAGGUGGGCAUGCCUUUUGUCUUCUGCACGUUUGCCAAUGCUAGCCAAAUGGGUUUGAGUUUGGGAUGUUGUGUUUCUGGUCAAAUGCUGUGCAAGCCAAUCCCAAACUGGACAUAAAAAAUAUGAGGAAAUCAAAACUUAAUGUUGUUCUAACAUUAGUUGUUAACAACCAUUUCUAUUGCUGCAGUUCUGGGAAAAGUGAAAGACUUCCUAGGAGUCAUAUCUGAAGCCAAUAAACGGUUGCAGAAAGCUGCCGAGGACAAUUCUCUGAACUAUGAUAUUGAAGUGCUCACUGGAACUGAAUCUGAAGUCAUUGAAAUGGAUUUAAUGCUGGGUAUUGCUGAUCUUCAUACUCCUGAAGCUAUAGCUGCUGCUGAAUCUGCAAUAAGUAGUGGUCAACCAUUGGUUCCUUCAGAUUCAGAUAGCAGUGAAACAGAAUCAGAAGGUACAAGUGAUAAUGAUGACAAUAAAGUAGAAAGUGAUAAUGAUGAUGACAAGGACAACAACAACGAUGAGCAAACAGGCUCUUCCUUGAAACGCAAAACAUCUAGCUUUGUUGAAGAGGGCUCAAGUCAAGCUGCUGGCAGAAAUGGGUCCAAAAAGCGGCCAAAGAUCGUUGAGAUGUGUUGAAACUAAAUUUGUUGGUAAAAGCUUGGUUUUAUAAGUUGAUGAUUAUAUACUCUUUUUUCUUUGAGGUUAUAUUGUCAACUGAAGAGUUCUGUCAUGUCUUCCUUCUGUUCCUCCCCUGCCCUUGCUCUUCCCCCCCCAAGUCUUUUUUCCCAGUGUUACUGGUCGUAGAUCGGUGAUGAGUAUUAUCAGAAGUACUAGAAAUGUAUUAAGGAUGUUAUGAUGAAUUAGUAUGAACUGCAUUUAGGAGCCAGUGUUGGAAAACCAAGUUGAGAUUAUGGGCUAUUAAUAUCUCUUCUUGUUAAUCCCAGCGGUUGCAUAUGUUCAGGGUCUAGAUGGGAUGUAAGAGGGCUAUUUAGGAAUGAGCAAUC
rnacentral:misc_RNA from 1 species